rnacentral:rRNA from 1 species
UACAUGGGGUGCAAACGUUGCUCGGAAUUAUUGGGCGUAAAGCGCGCGUAGGCGGUUACUUAAGUCGGAUGUGAAAGCCCUCGGCUUAACCGAGGAAGUGCACCCGAAACUGAGUAGCUGGAGUACGAAAGAGGGUCGCGGAAUUCCCGGUGUAGAGGUGAAAUGCGCAGAUAUCAGGAGGAACACCGGUGGCGAAGGCGGUUCUCUGGGCAUGUCCUGACGCUGAGGAGCGAAAGUGUGGGGAGCGAACAGG